CCCAGUCUGACAAUCUCUACCCAAAAGUGGAAGCCACUUUGCUGUGUUUCAACCAAGAGAAAUAUUUCUCUGGAAAAUGAGUACCUGAAGAGAUGGUCUGCCCUGCUGGGAAAUAGUGCAGUACAGAAUGGAUCUCACCGUUGGCAUUCAUGAGGAACCAGUCACUCCAAGUACAGCAAAGAUGCAGCUGCUACUUCACCUCCUCCCACAAUUACUGAUUGGAAGUCACACAUGCCAGAUGAAGUCAAGAACUCCCAGAUUAGGAAUUCACCUAUAUGAAGACAGAAUAAAGCAGAGCUUGUGUCUGGUAUUGACUCUUCUUUUGAG